rnacentral:lncRNA from 1 species
ACUUAUUUGGUUUACAUACAGUGAUACAUUGCAAUGAUUUAGAAAGGUGACCUAUUUUCAAGUGAAUUUACAUGUUCUUUGCUAUUCAACAUAAUUUUUUCUUCCCUCCGUUGUGUUAAUUGAUUCAUCUGCGGUUGUGCUCUUCUGACAAAGAUGUCCAUCAAGUCCCGAGAGAACUACUAAUAGCUAGCUGGAAAGAUGUUUUAGAGAAUUUGUUUGGAGGUACGUAAUGAAACCUCAUAACUUCUAAUUUGCUGAUUUUUUUCAGAGAAUUGCUUCGCUACUAAUGCGCUAAACUAAUAUAAGACGUUGUAGGUCACGAAAUACUGACCUAAAACGGCUUUUAUUAGUUUCCAAAUGGAGUAUUAUUCCUGUUGAAGUUCUUUAAUCAUUUCAAUUCUUCUGUGACAGGCCGACAGCGGGCUCGAGUCUAUCUCUGUCUCACGAACAGGGUGGACAGGUUCACGACUCGACUGAUUGACUGAAUCGGAGCAAACAAUUCAGCAAACACCUUAUGGGCAGAGGUAGAGAAGCAGAGUAUGGGCACUAGCACAGCUUACCUUUUUAUCUUCCUGUACGUGCUGCACUGAGGCGCUUUGUUCUUACAUUUGUACUAUCAACAGGAACACACAGUAUACAUUACAAAUCCAGUUUUGCUAUGAAGCCGUAACUUUGCUCAGUUCUUCCCUACAAUUAAUUCGUCUGAAUUACUAGCUAUGGUCCCUUCUAAUUCUUAUUCUAAUUAGCAGACAAACUUAAGAUAUAUUUUGUUCAAAUAAAUCUGAAUCUACAACUGAUAUUGUUAUCUCUGUUUAUCUCAUUUGUUGAGAAGUAUUGCUAUAUUUAGGGCUGCUUGUUGAGCAUUUCCAUGGUAGAUCCCAGAUUCGAACAAUGUAUUCUUACACUCCCAUGUAUCACAGUUUAUAUUCUCCUUUCGAUGCAAGCCUUCCUGUUUACCUGAAUGAUUUUGAAUAUGUAAUACGUACAUGUCUUACGUACAAUCCAGCCUAGACACAAAGUCAGAAAUUAUCUGCUAUGUGUUACAGGUUCAGCACAAUGUCAACCCCUUUCCUGUUGUGCAUAUGGUCUUGGUUUUGGGUUCAGAAUAUAUUUUGAUUUAGAGAUGCAGAAACGAUGGAUAGAUAUUGACAAGCCUCAUUUUCUAUUUGUUCUGGAGGGUCUGGGUCUAAAUAUCAGUCAAAUAUUUAAUUUUUAGCUGAAUGAUGAAAUAAUGGAAAGUGGUGCUCAUCUCAAAGUAGGGCUACUUGGUCUAAAUAAUUUGGUCAUCUCAAUAUUUCACAAGCAUAUGAGAUAUGUGUAGUAAUUUGUGUAUGCAUUCCAGCUUGGACUGGCAGCAUGGACUGGAAAAUUGUCCCAACCAUCUUGGACACACCCCAGGCAGGUGCUGCCAGCUGCCAUGGUCGAGGCAUGAGGUUCGACGUGGUGAUCAAGGAGGUGCAGGGUAUGCUCUUGUAAUUAGUAUGAUGAUUUCCACAUGCUUAAAUGCUACUCCAUUAUGUUUUUGCAUAACAAUCUUGAGAUUAUGUAUUGAAAUAUUCAUAGUGAUUCUUCCCGUUAAGUUGAGCUUAAUAUGUUUGUCUCCUGCUCUCAGCUAAUUUAGGAUUUUGUAUUAUAUUUAGGUAAGCAUUUUCCUUGCAUGUCGUGAUAUCUUACAAGCAUUGUGUUAAUCAAUUUUUUCUUUAUCAAGUUUACUAUUAUUUCCAUCGCUCUGCAGUUUAUUUAAAUACACUGCUUUACAUUAUUCUGGUGUGAAGUUUUCCAAAUCCAUUUUCCAAUACAAAAUUUCUUUUUCCGGAUAUAGACUCUUUUUGCUAAUAAAUAGGACAAUCUGGAUUCAAAGUUAAAUAAAAUUUAUGGCCUUGUGUUGAUAGAUGGCAUUACACACUGAUGGCUUCUGGUUUUCUAUUUUUCUUAUAGGAACAGAGAAACUGAAUAUUUUGUUUGCAAGACGGUUAUCAUAUACUCUAAUUCAGACAUAAGUGAUGAUACAAUAACGCGCUUCGCCAAUUUCUAAUUCAGGCGGGCGUAGCUUAGCUUGGGACCAAGCACGUGCAACAGUUAUUGUCUUCUUCAUGCCCCGUAAGUUGCUUCUGUCAUGCAUGUAAACAAAGACGCCACCGACAGUAACGGCAUGCAUAGUGAGGUCGUUGCCCGGCAUGAUCUUGCUUUGAGCUGCUUGGAGACUUGCUUUGAGCUGCUUGGAUGAUACUGCUUCAGUGUAUUCUUGCUUGUUUGUCCUAUUUUUUCAGUGAAAUGCUGAAGAUAUGUAGUUGAUUGCCAGUAUUUGAUCGCCCUGCAAUAUUUUUUGACUUGGUUAUUUGUAUAUUGUACGAGCUUGAAUAUUGAAUAAGUAGCGUAUCUAUUAAAUUAUAUGCGGUUUCGUGCAUUAGUUUGUACGUGCAUUUGCACACAUGCAUAUGAUUAUUCAGGUUAGAUUUGCCACCAAACUUAAGUGCCCCUCCUUAUUUCAAGGUUAUCAUUUCAAUUCAACCUAAUAUAAUAUUAAAUGCCUCGUCAGUAUAUCAAUCCGACCUUUCUCUAUGAGGACCCCUGCAGUUUGUGAUGCUGUAAUUUUUCUUUGGGCAAAUGUACUACAGAAAAAAACAUACUAAGCUGAGCACCCCUUGAAGGCAGAUAUGUACUUGGCAUAGGGUUUGCCGAGUAUAAAACUAGGUGAGGUGCACUUGACAUACACCUGGCAUGGGGUUUGCUGAAUGUUUUUAUCAUUUUAUGAAAGGAACUUUAUGAUUCGUAUGUUCAAUUGUAAUUUUAUCUCAGAAAGCUCAUUCUAGAAUAUGU